ensembl:lincRNA Gm26569 predicted gene, 26569
GUGAUAAUGGAGCCACAUGCCCAGGCUCAACCCAGGCCCAAGGAACUUGACCUGAAGCAGGAGGGCAAGAAGUCAGCUGAGCUUUGUCUGGAGGAGAUUCUGAGGGCUGCUACCGUUUGAUUCCUUGGCUUUGGAGGGGAGAAUNNUUCUGUAGUAGACCAAACAUCGCUGUUUGAAAACCAAAAUGUAGAUGCUUGUCUUUUCAGACUCCUUUGAGGUCUCCUUUAUAGGAGAAAUGCUUUCCUUUUUUACUUGUCAAGAGCAAAUAGUGAGAAAUAUCUUUAAUUAAAAAAAAAAAAAAAACCUAACCACCCCCCAAACCCAGCCCUCGUUCGUCAUUUAAAAGCUGCAGGAGGGCAGUGAGGAGUGGGUGUUUGAAAUCUGCUUUGUUGUGGGUGUAAAUCCUAGGUUCUGAUUUACCGGAACAUCUCAGGCAGUAGAGCUCCACAGCUUCCUAGUAGAGAUUUCUAGUAGUCUUCCUACUAGACACAUCUGGGACAGACCCUUAAAUCUGUGUCUUCUUGGAAUUUUAAAAAAAGGAAAAAAAUAAAGAACGUUUGCUGUCUAAGAAUAGUCUUUGACAAGUUGCUCAGAGUAGAGAUCUAAUAAAGCAACUGUCCCCUUGCCCCUUGAACAGCCAUUUUGCAAUCUUUUCAGUCUCUUCCGUUCCCAACCCCACUGUACAGUUUGCGUGGUCAUCUUCUGAGCAUGUUGAGAAAAUACAUACUUUUUUUUUCUUAACUUCUUUGUUUUCUCGGUUAUCUGGUACUAUCUGGUAUUAUCACCAUGUUUCAUUCCCUUAUAUGUAUGUUUUCAGUAGAUUCACAUUGGCUUUAAAGACCCCAAUUUUUAGCUUCUCUUUAUGAUUUCUCUCACCAAAGCAACCUGUAAUAAACAUCUAAUCAACCCAGCAAAACCUAGUCAAGGCAUGUUGGUGGCUUUAUGCCUCUGACUCUUACUCUUUCUUCCUGCUGCUGGUUCAGGGAAAUGUGUAUCAAAAUUCUGUUUCAAAUUCUGUUUUAAAAGAUGCUGGAGCCUCAAUAUACAGAUAAUGAAUGGAAAACCUUAAAGAAAUAUUUACACAUGGACAUUGAAAUCCAACCUUGGUUCAGCAAAGCUCUUCUUCAUUUGGCUGAUUUAUUUUUAGAGGGCAGGUCAUUUAAUUUUUAAAAAAAUUUCUCUUUCCUUUCUUCCCUUCUCCUCCCCCCUUGGCUCUGAUUGUCUCCCAGGACCAGGAAGUUUAUAUGUAAACACAAGCGGUAAUGGACCCCUGACCUGCUCAGGGCUUUCAACCCAGUCAAUCCACAGAGGGAUUAACCCCAAAUACCGACUGGAUCUCAGAGGGUUCCAGACCUGCCUGUUCUCAUACUGCACGGACAGCCUUUUUCCAAGUCAAGGAACCUGCAAACUCGGAGAUUUUCUUCCGAAGACCUUCUCCUGGCAGCUGGACCCGCAUCAAUCGCUCACAAGAGACAAUGUAUCUGUGUUUUAGAGUCUCUCUGUUGCAAAUGGGUCCAGAAGUUUCCCAUGUUGUUAAGAGGGGGUGGGGACAGAGAAGGGGCCCAGAGAGGCUACGCACUCAACAGCCCCUAACAGCUGUGGAAAGUUUGAUGCAGCAGGGGCACCCAGACAGAAAAUUAAAAAACUAAUAAAGUCCUCAGUGUGGGGCACUGGC